CUGUGACCCAUGGACUUCCCUUUGUCAUCCUAUGUCUGAGAAUAUAUGAAGGGGGUUGGGAAUGCAAAGGGACAUUCAAUUGUCAUCACU
rnacentral:pre_miRNA from 1 species